GCUUACACAUGCAAGUCGAGCGGUAGCACAGGGGAGCUUGCUCCCUGGGUGACGAGCGGCGGACGGGUGAGUAAUGUCUGGGAAACUGCCUGAUGGAGGGGGAUAACUACUGGAAACGGUAGCUAAUACCGCAUAACGUCGCAAGACCAAAGAGGGGGACCUUCGGGCCUCUUGCCAUCAGAUGUGCCCAGAUGGGAUUAGCUAGUAGGUGGGGUAAUGGCUCACCUAGGCGACGAUCCCUAGCUGGUCUGAGAGGAUGACCAGCCACACUGGAACUGAGACACGGUCCAGACUCCUACGGGAGGCAGCAGUGGGGAAUAUUGCACAAUGGGCGCAGCCUGAUGCAGCCAUGCCGCGUGUGUGAAGAAGGCCUUCGGGUUGUAAAGCACUUUCAGCGAGGAGGAAGGUGGUGAGCUUAAUACGCUCAUCAAUUGACGUUACUCACAGAAGAAGCACCGGCUAACUCCGUGCCAGCAGCCGCGGUAAUACGGAGGGUGCAAGCGUUAAUCGGAAUUACUGGGCGUAAAGCGCACGCAGGCGGUUUGUUAAGUCAGAUGUGAAAUCCCCGGGCUCAACCUGGGAACUGCAUUUGAAACUGGCAAGCUAGAGUCUCGUAGAGGGGGGUAGAAUUCCAGGUGUAGCGGUGAAAUGCGUAGAGAUCUGGAGGAAUACCGGUGGCGAAGGCGGCCCCCUGGACGAAGACUGACGCUCAGGUGCGAAAGCGUGGGGAG
rnacentral:rRNA from 1 species